GUGCUACGUAGUAUACAUUAUUUAUUCAAUUAAAUUGAGUAAUUUAAAAGAAAAAUAAUAACAUUUCUGUAAUAGAAACUUUUGCUUAUCAAAUGUGUCUGUGUAGAAGAGUUUGUAGCAACGAGAGUGAAAGGUUUACCAAUCAUGUCCUUUCAAUGUUACCAACUACGUUACGUAUAUAAGUUCUUACUACGCUGACAAACUGUUUAUGAAGGUUUUUCUGCGGCUGAAGCAAAUUUGUAGUUUUUUAAUAAAUUACAUCGCAUACUGUUGACACAAAUUCCAAGUACAUUUGAAAAAUUCGGUGUAAAAUCCCUAUGCACCCUGCAAAGUUUGUUCAAUAAGAAGAAAAAGCAAAAAGGAAACAAUCGGUUAAGUGAAAAUAAAUUGUUGAAAGAGCCACUGCUUUGGAGUAUUUACUUUUAUUUACGUACUUCUUCCGCUGAAAGUCACAUAGACUGUGUUCUUUCAGUGACAGUGUACUUUAGUCAAUUAUCAAUUUAUGAAAUUAAAGUGCAAUAUUAUAUUGCAAAAAUUACUUUAUUAUCUUAAAUUUUAGAUGAUGAUCGAUAAGUUUAAUAUCUUAAUGAAGAUCGGACAUUACGAAACUCUAUGAAUAUUAAAAGCAUUCAAAUGGCGUAAUUAUGAGUCAUCAUUUAUUGCAUAACUCCUACAAAAAACAAUAAAAGAGUUUUUUCUUGCGCUACUCAUUAUAGCAAUUAAUUUUCAGAUAAAAUCGCAUAAGGUUUAAAUUUCUUCAAUUUUAUAUUACAAUAAUCGGAAUAGGUGCAGUGUAAAACAUUCCACCACAUAGUAUGGCCUCGGUCGCCGCUUGGCUGCCAUUUGCACGGGCGGCGGCCAUCGGUUGGGUUCCAAUUGCUACACACCCAUUACCGCCUCCACCCAUACCAAAAGACCGUCGCAAAACUGACGAUGAAAAGCUUUUAAUUAAUGUUUCUGGACGUCGUUUUGAAACGUGGCGAAAUACGCUUGAAAAGUAUCCGGAUACGUUACUGGGAUCUAAUGAACGUGAGUUCUUUUACGACGAGGAUUGUAAAGAAUAUUUCUUUGAUAGAGAUCCAGAUAUUUUUCGUCAUAUACUCAACUAUUAUCGCACGGGAAAACUUCAUUAUCCUAAACAUGAAUGCCUCACAAGUUACGAUGAAGAAUUGGCAUUCUUUGGUAUUAUGCCUGAUGUAAUUGGGGAUUGUUGUUAUGAAGAUUACCGUGAUCGAAAGCGGGAGAAUGCCGAACGAUUGAUGGAUGACAAAUUGUCAGAAAACGGUGAUCAGAAUUUGCAACAGUUAACAAAUAUACGUCAAAAAAUGUGGCGCGCAUUUGAAAAUCCGCACACUUCAACAGCGGCUUUGGUUUUUUACUAUGUAACAGGAUUUUUUAUCGCAGUCUCUGUAAUGGCCAAUGUUGUAGAGACAGUUCCAUGUGGUCAUAGACCCGGACGAGCCGGUACUCUGCCGUGUGGUGAACGUUAUAAAAUCGUAUUUUUCUGCCUCGACACCGCCUGCGUCAUGAUAUUUACCGCAGAAUAUUUGUUACGUCUAUUUGCUGCACCCGACCGCUGCAAAUUUGUGCGCAGCGUAAUGAGUAUUAUUGAUGUUGUUGCUAUACUGCCAUAUUAUAUUGGAUUGGGCAUUACUGAUAACGAUGACGUGAGUGGAGCCUUUGUGACGUUACGUGUCUUCCGUGUUUUUCGAAUUUUCAAAUUCUCACGGCAUUCACAAGGCCUACGGAUACUUGGCUACACAUUAAAGUCAUGUGCUUCAGAAUUGGGAUUUCUGGUAUUCUCACUGGCAAUGGCGAUUAUCAUAUUUGCAACGGUUAUGUUUUAUGCUGAAAAGAACGUCAACGGGACGAAUUUCACAUCUAUUCCGGCUGCUUUCUGGUACACUAUAGUAACAAUGACAACACUGGGUUAUGGUGACAUGGUGCCUGAAACUAUUGCUGGAAAAAUUGUUGGUGGCGUUUGUUCUCUCAGUGGAGUUCUUGUGAUCGCUUUACCUGUUCCAGUUAUUGUUUCAAACUUUAGUAGAAUAUAUCAUCAGAACCAGAGAGCUGAUAAACGAAAAGCACAGCGGAAAGCCCGUUUGGCUAGAAUAAGAAUUGCUAAGGCAUCUUCGGGUGCGGCAUUUGUUAGUAAGAAGAAAGCUGCAGAAGCUCGUUGGGCCGCACAAGAGUCAGGAAUUGAAUUGGACGAUAACUAUAGGGAUGAGGACAUAUUCGAACUGCAACACCAUCAUCUUUUGCGAUGUCUUGAGAAAACAACUGAUCGCGAAUUUGUUGAGCUUGAAAUACCGUACAAUGGUCAACCGAAGCGUACUGGUUCUCCAUCGCCGAUGGCUAGUCCUGCUCAUUCAACGAAUAGUGCUGUUGGCUUAAUGCAAUCAUGUUGCGGCCGAUGCUGUUCUCAACGUUAUCAGGCUUGCGGAAAGUAUAUGCCGGCUUCAGGCAAUGCUCAAAACAAUGAAAACAACCAGCCAAUGGACGGUACAUACCUGGUGGAAGCUUCCUUUUAAUGCACUAUUUUCACACCAUCUGUGUUUGCUGUUGUUCUUGGGUUAGCAUGCGAUGUAACUCCUCCCCCCUUAGAUUCAAAACUCUCCUGAGCACAGCUCGUUUCCAUUCGUGUUUCUGAAAACAAGAUCUGCACAAUCUUCCUGCUAUUCGUAAGCAUCGUUAAAUAGCAUGUAAUUGAAUUUUUAUCGGCUCUUGACACAUCUUAUUUUCUACACAUUCUAUUUCUAUAAAGUAAUAUAUAUAACUAAAACUUCACUUCGACGGAAGCUGUGCUGAUAAAAAUCUGACAAUGCCGAUCAAACCCCGUUUCACCUGUGACGAUUUAUUUGAAAAAUCUAAAACGUGGAGUUUUUUACAAGAUGGGAAAUAUUUACCGUACGCCCAUGAAAUAUGGGAGGCUGCUUCUCUUAACACUCAAAAACAAAUGUCCAAAUCAUACAUCUAGCAGUACAUUACUCAAAAUCGAGGAAUGAUAAAUAAUUUCUAAUAAAAUGAUUAUUUGUUUUACUAUAAUAAUUAUUUGCUCCUUAACUCGA
rnacentral:misc_RNA from 1 species